GAAUAUGGCGAGCGGUGACGGGGGAUGUGCCGGCAGGUGCAGCGCUUACCUCCAGCUCUGGCGGGAGUGAUGCUACGGUCACGAAAAGUCCUGUUGCGAUGGCUAGCCCUCUGCGGGACGACCCGUUACCGGUUUACCACAGCAACACUCCACUUGUCGCGAAGGUGCAGCUGGUGUAUAUGGACACGUGAUCCGGUAGUGCACGAGGAGGUUCUUAUUCAAGAGCCGUCACCACUGAUCUAUAAUACUGAUCCGUGGCCGUCACCCAUCAUCCUCAGCAAAAUAAUCAGUGCAUUAAAAACUCGCAUUAUCAGCUUAUAUCUACGUGCCACGAAAAAGUGCAUUAUAGAGAAAUACAUAGGUUUCUAUAACAGAAUAAUCAACAAGUCGAUUUAACCAUUUACGAAGAAUAUUCUAAAUAAUAUAUCUCUAAAUUGUGAUUGUAGCUGUCAAAUGAAUUCUAAAAAAAGACAUGCGCCCCCAGGAAGACAAAACAGAAGCAUUUCUGACAUCUUUCCUUGAUUGUUUGAUUCGCAAAAAUAAAACAGAGGGGAAAAAACCCAAUAAAAGUAUAAUGAAACAUUUAAUUUCAUUUUAAACAAAAUUUUGUCUUUGGAUUCAAGGUCAACAUGUAAAUGUGAAACAAUUCUGAAACAGAAUAUAAUGUCUAACAUCAAAAGCACUUGUACUUGCAAACUAUUUAGUUGCAAACAAACUCUCUUCUGCAGGAAUCAUGAGUGGUGACGGGACGUCCAGCACUGGAACACGCUAAUAGUGAUACAUUCAGAGUGAAGAACACAUGCACUCAUGCAGACAGGUAAUAAGGUCAUACAUAAAACAACAGUGAUUCAUAGUGACUCUUAAUUCCUACAGCAUAACCCCAUGUGCAAAAAAGCAAUACCAAGAAAAUCCUAAAUAUAUGUGCUUGUAACAGUAAAAAAAAAAAAAAAA